rnacentral:rRNA from 1 species
AUUGAACGCUGGCGGCAGGCCUAACACAUGCAAGUCGAACGAGCGGUGGACGGUUGCGUAAUGUAUGGGGACCUGCCCGAUAGCGGGGGAUAACUACUGGAACCGGUGGCUAAUACCGCAUCCUAGCCGAUGCUCCCAUAUGGGAUUAGCUAGUAGGUGGGGUAAAGGCUCCCCUAGGCGACGAUCGCUAGCUGGCCUGAGAGGAUGAUCAGCCACAGUGGGACGAAGACACGGCCCAUACGCCUACGGGAGGCAGCAGGGGGGAAUAUGGCACAAUGGGUGAAAGCCUGAUGCAGCCAUGCCGGGUGUAUGAAGAAGGCCUUAGGGUUGUAAAGUACUUUCAGCAGGGAGGCGUUACCCGCGGAGGAAGCUCCGGCUAACUACGUGUCAGCCGCCGCGGUAAUAC